ensembl:rRNA 5S_rRNA 5S ribosomal RNA
GCUUACGGCCAUACCAACCUGGCUAUGCCCGAUCUCGUCUGAUCUCGGAAGCUAAGCAGGUUUGGGCCUGGUUAGUACUUGGAUGGGAGACUGCCUAGGAAUACCAGGUGCUUUAAGGU